AAGCAUCAUAGGAAAAAAGCGAGACCAAGGUGCUGUGGGAAGUGAAGGAGGGCUAUUGACUGAAACUCUGUGUUUGCUGCAGCAUAGCUGGGGCACAGCCUGAGUGAACUUAAUCCAUACAUGACUGGAGAUAGGAAGUAAGGGGGAUCCUUUUAACAUUGGAUAUAUCAGAGGGUUUUCUGAUGAUUCUGCAUGCAGUGCUAGAGGAGCCAGGGAGCCAGUGCCCUGCAUGCCAGCAGCACUGGUCUGGUGGUGAAGGAAGUCCUGCUGAAUAAACAGGUCAUGCCACCUGAAAAAGAGCCAUGGGGGCCUCCUCAGGGCCUCCUCUGAUUGUACUGCAUUGACCCACAAACCUUUCUGAAGGACUUUGUGGCAGCAUUAAUACAGUUUUGGAGAUUGGCAUGCAUUCUUGGUUGGCUUAGGUGCUGCAGCUCCAAAUAAAUCCUUCCCUGACUUCUCUCAGCCUCUCCACGGAGAAAUGUCCUUAAUGCAAAGCAGGCUGGUCCCGACGUAGAAAUGUGUUUUAUUUCAGUGUUUAGGGCAUACAGGCUAGCAUUCUUAGAGAGGAGAGGGCUCCUGCCUACUGCCAUUUCUUCCUCCCAUUCCUUCUCGCUUCAUUCCUCUGGGUACCAGGGAGCACUUUGGCAGCUGAGGGUGUUUGCCUUAUUUUUCUCACCCUUCACAAAAGCUGCCCUCUGCUUAACAUGCGCAUUCCUUCCUUCAGAGCCAUUUUCCUCUGUGGACUCUUGAGGCUAGCCAGCAGCCAAACAGUAGGGUGAGCUGCAUGCAAAAGCCUUGAUCAUUGACAGGCUGUCUUACAAUUUCUUUCUUGUAUUCAAGAUGCAGAUGGAUGUUAUUAGAAAGGUUUUUACUUUGAAUGUGCACAACUUGUCCACAUGCCUGAGAUUAGCGCUCAAUACUUAUAUAAUGCUUUUCAUCCUCAAAAGGGCUUUACAAGCGCGAGUCCUCAGAAAGCUCCUGUGAGGUGCGUUCAUUUUGUUAUAUAUUCUAUAACAAGGAGGGACACAUGUCAGUGACUUGUUCAAAGAUGUAUCACUCAGUAAGCAUUAUAAAGGAAGGAAAUCUUUACACUUCCCUGGUGUUCCUCUCUGAUGUUUUCCUGUCAAAAAAAUCAUAGUUACACCAUGGCAGCAUGUUUUUCUGUAUGAAAGAAGUGAUUAGUGACAUCAAAAAUUAAAAUGCAUCUCAGGUUAUAGUAAUACUAGAUAAAUACACAGCAUUUCUAAAAUUUAUGAGGCCAAAUUUCCUACUGCACUAAGCUUCAAAUAAAGCGGAACAGGAGCUGAAAGGGAUCAUCAAAGAGACCCAAGCUUGACAGAAGAUCUGGAGCGCUUGCCUCAAACCAUACUUCAAAACAGAGGGAAAUGAUUUUAGAAGGAGUGAUGAAAAAUGUCUGUCUUCUCAGUUAAAAGGAUAGUGCAAGAUUUUUUUUUUCUGCUUUAACUGCAUGAUUAUGAUUAAAACAGCUACAGUAACAGCAACAGCCCCAGUAUGAACUCAGUUCUACCAAAAGUUCUUGUAAUAUUGCAUCUCAUUUCAGUGAGGGGGCUGAAAUAAGCUGUAGCUGUGAAAGGCAUCUUUAUAAUUAUGUAUUCUUGCUGAGCUUUUACUGGCAUGAUUGCCUUGGCAUGCUUUACCUCGCACAAGCAAGCCAAUAAAAGUUUCAAGUGUUGACCAGCAGACAUGAUCUGGCUAGGGCCAAGAUCAUUCUGUGAGAUGUGGUUUCUAAACCAGGUCAGUAAGCCCUGGGGGGGUGUCUAUCAGCAUUAGGGGUCUUUGUACCCUCUGUGAGCCUCUGUACAUGCAUAGGUAGCUGGUGGCAAAAACUGGCUAAGAAAUCAGUAGUCACCUUAGCCCAAUAAAGAAUUCUUAAGAGAUGGAGAGUUGCUUGUCCUGAAUAAACCAUCAGAAGAUUUCAAGGGGAAGGGGUCUACUUUAUAGACACACACCUACUUCAUGCUCCCUGGGCAAAUAGGUUGCGAUUAACCUGUCUAGUCCAAGUCAUGAAAAGGAUAAAACUAGACAGGUUAAAGCAAGUAUUUAUUCUAGUUCUGCUUCAGCUUCCUUCUUUUGAUUAAGCCUUGUUUUCUUCAUUUUUUUUUUCUUCAACUGGGUAAGUAACCACACAGCUAUGUCUGGUGAAAAUAGAGCUCUGCAGCAUCUCGGGAAAGAUGUUGAGAAUUAGUUAUUGAGCUCUCUGGUGUGGUAGAGAUGCCCAUCUUCUCAUGCUACAAAAAAGUAGGGUGAAGGAGUGGAAGUGAAUAAGCUAGUCAUGUUUUUUUAACCCUACAAAAGGAUAUUUUUUUCCUUGAAAAUUCUAUAUUCAGAUCUUAUCUCCCUCUAGCUGCUCUUGGAAGGGUAUCUGGCCCCAGAAACUACUCUGGAGAAAUGGGAAACGUCAGCUCUUUUCUGUUUUUCUGACCACCAUACAGUGUUUCAGAUGAAUUCAUGGGAACGAUGUGCAGAAAAAGUCAUGAAAAUUGCUGUUUGGGAAAUCACAGCUGGAAAAAGUUAUCACAUUUUUAUGGAUUCCACAUCCACGGCCUUUAAUGUCAGCUACCUUAUUUUGCUUUAUAAUUGUGUAAGUGACUACAUCUGGGCCAAUUAAGCACUUUCGUUUGCCUUUAAGAGUUGGAAGACACUGCAUGAUUUAACCUUUAACAUCUGGGGGAAAGAGAUGCUCUACCAGGGCUAUGCGAUACCUGCAUGGUUUUGAUGACAAAACACAUGUAUGCUCAUUGCAAAACCACGAGGUGUAAGUUACUGCCUUAAAGCUAUGUAGUGCUCUGGAUGUGUUCAGCACUUGUAUUUCUCUUUAAAUCUUAUGAGAACAAAGAGUUGCAAGGACUGCGGUAUGGGCUCAGGCAACCUGUGGACUGGUCUGUAACAGAUGCCUUCACAUCUCCAUCCCUCUACAAAUACCUUUCUUAUUUCCCACAAGACUGCCCUUGGAAGCAUCAGGUUUGAAGCUCUCACAAAAUGAGGUGCAACUUGACUCCCACAAGGUGUUUUUUUUGUUUUUUUUGUUUUUUUUUUAAGAUUUAACCACGGUAGGGAAAUAAUUCCCCUCGGUUCAGUGCUGCUCUCCAGGUUCAAACCAGCUGAGUAUCUACACCGCUACCACUAGUUUCAAAGAAAGUGUGAUGCUAUUGCUUGAAAGACCCCUCUUCACACUUUGAAGAUGUGCUGAUGUGUGUUUUAAUCAAUUUUAUUUACUUUGCCCAGGAGUAUCAACCUGCUGUCUGGCUCAUAUAUGUGCUCUUUUCCUCCACGACAAGAAGAAUCUAACUUCAUCCUGAAGGCAAGAGUAAUGAGAAGGCUUGAGGCAGAAUUAUAAGCUACUUGCAUGCAUGGAAUGAAGUUACACAGCUAAGUUCAACCUGAGAGACUUAUCAUUUCAAGAGUCUGAGCAUUGCUAACACGAUACAGAUGUUGCCACUGAACAGACAGGCACAAGAUUGUUUUGUUGUUCGUUAUGCACCCCUUCCUGGCAGCACUGCCGAGCACAACUCAGAGAGGUCGCUCUAUCUGGGAGUUAAAAUCAUUAUUUUUUUAAAUUAUUUUUUUUUAGCUGGAGAUGAAAAGGAGCAUGUCUGUCCUCUGUUGCAACACCAUGGGAAUUCCCAGCAGCCCCAGCAGGGACCAGAGCCAAGGAACAGACCCGUAGCUGUUUUCAGCAGGCAGAAGCCAGCUCAUCUCCUUGAAACACAAAGGUUUUUGUUAGACGAGGACCUGGGCUGUAAUAUGAAGGUACACAGAAGCAGGAGAAAUGAUCCACCUGAGCCCUGCCUCACGUGGAUGCUAAUUGCACAUGCACCGGAGCGUGUGGAUUCCAGUCUCCACCCUCCAGCAUAUUUGAAGGAGGAUAUUCCUGAAGUAUGCCAGGACUUCCUUGUCCCAAGGACUAAAUACAUUUGGCUGUCUCCAUUCCAGCUAGCUUGAGCUGAAGAAAGAGAAACAAAAGCUAAAUAUGGGUAACACAAGGGUGUUUUUAUUGCAGCAGUGCACAGUGCUUUUGUCGUGUCAGUCAGAUGCCAGCAUAUGUCAGCAGUAUUUCAAGUUGUUAAUGCAUUGAAAAAAGGGGAAAAUUCCGAGCAAAUAACUUCCCUGUGACAAAAUCUUUAAGGGUUCACGUGUCUUUUGAAAUGAAUGUCUUCCAAAGAGUCACUUGGUUUCCCACAAGAUUGUAAUCUCCAUCCCUAGUACCUCUUUCUGUACAAUUGCUUCCCACAUUUCAGUUUCUAUUCCUGACUUAGAAAACACUUACAAGAUAAACUUGCUUGGCUGCAGACCUCCCGUUGACAACUUCCUCUAACUGUAGCAACAAUGAGGGGGGCAAUCUUCUAUUUUUAUUUUCUGUAAACUUGUUCUGGAAGCCAGAAGGAUGUUCCCAUGUUCUUGCAGCAAUGGUAUAAGAGGCUGAUAGUGGAUGUUCCAGGCACAAACCAGUUGUUAGAGAAGUAGGAAGAUUUAUCACAGCUUGCUGCUGAAUGUUUAAAGAGUAUUAUAAGUAUCUGCUUAAUACAUAGAACAAACAGUGAAGUUUACGCACACAAAUGGAGGGAAAGUGGUUAUUGGAGUGUGUCUUAGAAAUAGAUCCAGGUAGUACAAAUAACACAUCAGGUAAACUUCUAUCCCAUGGUUAGUAACAGCUCACCUCUGCAGUGUUGCUUAUUUUUGUCAGUUCCUUCAUGUCAGAUGAA